rnacentral:lncRNA from 1 species
AGCUUAGUUUAGGGUUUAAAACCCUAAUGUUGGCUGAAAGGAAAAGAGUUCAGUUUAGGGUUUAAAACCCUAAUGCUGAUUAAAGGAAAAAGUUCAAUUCAGGGUUUAAAACCCUAAUGCUGACUAAAGGAAAGAGUUCAGUUUAGGGUUUAAAACCCUAAUGCUGGCUGAAUGGAAAAAAGUUCAGUUUAGGGUUUAAAACCCUAAUGCUGACUAAAGGAAGAAUUCAGUUUAGGGUUUAAAACCCUAAUGCUGACUGCAUGGAAAAGAUCAGUUUAGGGUUUAAAACCCUAAUGAUGGCUGAAUGGAAAAGUUCAGUUUAGGGUUUAAAAACCCUAAAUGCUUGCUGAAUGGAAAAAGUUCAGUUUAGGGUUUAAAACCCUAAUGCUGACUAAAGGGAAAAAUUCAGUUUAGGGUUUAAAACCCUAAUGCUGACUAAAGGGAAUAAUUCAGUUUAGGGUUUAAAACCCUAAUGCUGAUUGCAUGGAAAAGCUCAGUUUAGGGUUUAAAACCCUAAUGCUGGCUGAAAGGAAAGAGUUCAGUUUAGGGUUUAAAACCCUAAUGCUGACUAAAGGGAAAAAUUCAGUUUAGGGUUUAAAACCCUAAUGCUGAUUGCAUGGAAAAGCUCGGUUUAGGGUUUAAAACCCUAAUGCUGACUGAAUGGAAAAUUCAGUUUAGGGUUUAAAAACCUAAUGCUGAUGGCUGGGGGCAAAAUUCGAGAACAACAACUGACCUCUUUUCUUUUUUUUUUUGAAUUUUCUUGUUUUAGUAGAAGAUAAAAGGGAGUUUCGUGGAAACUUACCUUUCGAGUGAAUUCCUUAUUGCCGAAAUGUUUCUUGUACCCAUGUACCUUUUUCUUUGGGAGACACCUGCUUCUUGCACGGUUGUCUUGGAUUAAACCUGUUUCAACUUUUCAGACAAAGAACAUUUGUUAGUUCGGAAAUGACGGUCGGUUUGGUGACCUUGAUCGUUCCCGGUUGCUUUGUUGCGUCUUCAUUUCUGUUGCGAAGUCCCGCCAUUGGUUUGAUUCAUAUGUCGGAACCUU